rnacentral:lncRNA from 1 species
UUCUUGAUUUUACUGGGGCAUUGUGUAUGCUUCCCUGAGCAUUGUGUAUGCUACUGGGGACUCAUGGUGUUGAUUAAUUGUUUUAACUAUAAUUCAUGACAAGUCUUUAGUCUGAAUUGUUUUGAGAAACAUAGUUUAUUGAUAAACAAUUGUUUGGAACUUGUUGGCUAUUCUAUUAUGAUAUGAUUCGUGUGCAUAAUAUUUUGUGCUCGUGGUGUGUUUCUAUUUUCUAACACUUAUACCAGGGGUAUUAGUGGCGAGUCAAAGACUUUUUUUUUUUAAUGACAAGGGAAACCCGCAGCCGCUACCUUUUGGGUGCGCACAGGGUAAAACCCCCGCUCCUAUGCAAUAGCUCGCAAACCACAUAGGAGAGGUAACCCACACUAGGCAAGCCCGGUGCGACGAGCUCGACCCAGAAGGCAAACCCCUUGCUUACGCAAGCAAGGGGUUUCGAACUUGAGACCUCCAACAUGGAACCCGCAGUUGCUACCCUUUGGGUGCGCACAGGGUAAAACCCCCGCUCCUAUGCAAUAGCUCGCAAACCACAUAGGAGAGGUAACCCACACUAGGCAAGCCCGGUGCGACGAGCUCGACCCAGAAGGCAAA